CCCUGAUGCAGCCAUGCCGCGUGUGUGAAGAAGGCCUUCGGGGUUGUAAAGCACUUUCAGUAGGGAGGAAGGUAGUGUAGUUAACACCUGCACUAUUUGACGUUACCUACAGAAGAAGCACCGGCUAACUCCGUGCCAGCAGCCGCGGUAAUACGGAGGGGUGCGAGCGUUAAUCGGAAUUACUGGGCGUAAAGCGCAUGCAGGCGGCCUGUUAAGUCAGAUGUGAAAGCCCGGGGCUUAACCUCGGAAUUGCAUUUGAAACUAGGCAGGCUAGAGUCUUGUAGAGGGGGGUAGGAAUUUCAGGUGUAGCGGUGAAAUGCGUAGAGAUCUGAAGGAAUACCAGUGGCGAAGGCGGCCCCCUGGACAAAGACUGACGCUCAGAUGCGAAAGCGUGGGGAGCAAACAGGAUUAGAUACCCUGGUAG
rnacentral:rRNA from 1 species